rnacentral:rRNA from 1 species
UACGUAGGUGGCAAGCGUUGUCCGGAUUUACUGGGCGUAAAGAGCGCGCAGGCGGUCGUUCAAGUCGCGUGUGAAAGCCCCCGGCUCAACUGGGGAGGGUCACGCGAUACUGAUCGACUCGAAGGCAGGAGAGGGUAGUGGAAUUCCCGGUGUAGUGGUGAAAUGCGUAGAUAUCGGGAGGAAUACCGAUGGCGAAGGCAGGUCUCUGGGCUGACACUGACGCUCAUGCACGAAAGCGUGGGAGC